GAGUGAUCUGUGUUCUCAAAAAUACUCUAUGGUAGGUCCAGUUCUAGAUAAGGUUAGUACAGACUAACUUCACUGGAAGACUGAGCAGUACACUGAGGUGAAUGGCCACUAGCAAGCUCUACACUCGCGCUAUAGUGCGUUCCAUCGGUUUCUCCCUCUCGCCUGCCGUCUCUCUAUCUAGGUCUCGCUCGCUGGCUAGCUCGCUCUAGGUCUCGCUCGCUGGCUAGCUCGCUCUAGGUCUCGCUCGCUGGCUAGCUCGCUCUAGGUCUCGCUCGCUGGCUAGCUCGCUCUAGGUCUCGCUCGCUCUAGGUCCCGCUCGCUGGCUAGCUCGCUGGCUAGCUCGCUCUAGGUCUCGCUCGCUAGCUAGCUCGCUCUAGGUCUCGCUCGCUGGCUAGCGAGCUCUAGGUCUCGCUGGCUCGCUCUAGGUCUCGCUGGCUAGCGAGCUCUAGGUCUCGCUGGCUCGCUCUAGGUCUCGCUGGCUAGCGAGCUCUAGGUCUCGCUGGCUAGCGAGCUCUAGGUCUCGCUGGCUCGCUCUAGGUCUCGCUGGCUAGCGAGCUCUAGGUCUCGCUGGCUAGCGAGCUCUAGGUCUCGCUGGCUAGCGAGCUCUAGGUCUCGCUGGCUCGCUCUACCGCUCUAGGUCUCGCUGGCUCGCUCUAGGUCUCGCUCUAGGUCUCGCUGGCUCGCUCUAGGUCUCGCUCUAGGUCUCGCUGGCUCGCUCUAGGUCUCGCUCUAGGUCUCGCUCUAGGUCUCGCUGGCUCGCUCUAGGUCUCGCUCUAGGUCUCGCUCGCUCUAGGUCUCGCUCGCUCUAGGUCUCGCUCGCUCUAGGUCUCGCUCGCUCUAGGUCUCGGUCUGUCUCUCUCACACUGCCUCUCUCUCUUUCUUGCCGUCCCUCACUCUGGGUCCCUCUCUAACCCCUCUCUCUGGGUCUCUCUCUCUCGCUCUGGGUCUCUCUCUCUCUCGCUCUGGGUCUCUCUCUCUCUCGCUCUGGGUCUCUCUCUCUCUCUCGCUCUGGGUCUCUCUCUCUCUCUCUGGGUCUCUCUCUCUCGCUCUGGGUCUCGCUCUGGGUCUCGCUCUGGGUCUCGCUCUGGGUCUCGCUCUGGGUCUCGCUCUGGGUCUCGCUCUGAGUCUCUCUCUCUCUCGCUCUGAGUCUCUCUCUCUCGCUCUGAGUCUCUCUCUCUCUCUCGCUCUGAGUCUCUCGCUCUGGGUCUCUCUCUCUGGGUCUCUCUCUCUG